AACGAACGCUGGCGGCAGGCUUAACACAUGCAAGUCGAGCGCCCCGCCAGGGGAGCGGCCGACGGGUGAGUAACGCGUGGGAACGUACCUUUUGGUUCGGAACAACUCCGGGAAACUGGAGCUAAUACCGGAUAAGCCCUAACGGGGAAAGAUUUAUCGCCGAAAGAUCGGCCCGCGUCUGAUUAGCUAGUUGGUGAGGUAACGGCUCACCAAGGCGACGAUCAGUAGCUGGUCUGAGAGGAUGAUCAGCCACACUGGGACUGAGACACGGCCCAGACUCCUACGGGAGGCAGCAGUGGGGAAUAUUGGACAAUGGGCGCAAGCCUGAUCCAGCCAUGACGCGUGAGUGAUGAAGGCCUUAGGGUUGUAAAGCUCUUUUGUCCGGGAAGAUAAUGACUGUACCGGAAGAAUAAGCCCCGGCUAACUUCGUG
rnacentral:rRNA from 1 species